ACUCAAAUGAAUUGACGGGGGCCCGCACAAGCGGCGGAGCAUGUGGCUUAAUUCGACGCAACGCGAAGAACCUUACCAAGGCUUGACAUACACCGGAAACAUCCAGAGAUGGGUGCCCCCUUGUGGUCGGUGUACAGGUGGUGCAUGGCUGUCGUCAGCUCGUGUCGUGAGAUGUUGGGUUAAGUCCCGCAACGAGCGCAACCCUUGUCCCGUGUUGCCAGCAGGCCCUUGUGGUGCUGGGGACUCACGGGAGACCGCCGGGGUCAACUCGGAGGAAGGUGGGGACGACGUCAAGUCAUCAUGCCCCUUAUGUCUUGGGCUGCACACGUGCUACAAUGGCCGGUACAAUGAGCUGCGAUACCGUGAGGUGGAGCGAAUCUCAAAAAGCCGGUCUCAGUUCGGAUUGGGGUCUGCAACUCGACCCCAUGAAGUCGGAGUCGCUAGUAAUCGCAGAUCAGCAUUGCUGCGGUGAAUACGUUCCCGGGCCUUGUACACACCGCCCGU
rnacentral:rRNA from 1 species